rnacentral:sRNA from 1 species
UAAGAAGACUUACAAAU